rnacentral:rRNA from 1 species
AUUGAACGCUGGCGGCAGGCCUAACACAUGCAAGUCGAACGGUAACAGGAAGAAGCUUGCUUCUUUGCUGACGAGUGGCGGGUGGGUGACUAAUGUCUGGGAAACUGUCUGAUGUAGGGGGAUAUCUACUGGAAACGGUAGCUAAUACCUCAUAACGUCGCAAGACCAAAAAGGGUGACCUUCUGGCCUCUUGCCAUCGGAUGUGCCCAGAUGGGAUUAGCUAGUAGGUGGGGUAACGUUUCACCUAGGCGGAGAUCGGUAGCUGAUGUGAGAGGAUGACCGGCCACACUGGAACGGGAACACGGACAAGACUACUACGAGAGGCAGCAGAGGGGAAUGAUGCACAAUGGGAGGAAGCAUGAUGCAGCCAGGCCGCGUGUAAGAAGAAAGCCUUGGGGUUGGAAAGUACGUUCAGCGGGGAGGAAGGGAGUAAAGUUAAUACCUUUGCUCAUUGACGGUACCGGCAGAAGAAGCACCGGCUAACUACGUG